rnacentral:rRNA from 1 species
CAGCCGCCGCGGAUACACCCAUUACGAAUCCGAUCUUGCUUUCCGAUUCCCAGGGUCGCCUGCACGCUUUUUGGGUGCAGCAAGAGACUACUACAACAGCGGGGUCUACUACCACUGCCCGGGAUGCGAUUUACUACUCUCGCAACGAGAAUGAUCAGUGGACACGCCCUAUGGCAGUUCUGCAAUCUCCCAGCGGGAUGACUCGCCAGCCCUCAGCAGCAAUCGACACCAACGAUAAUCUGUAUGUGGUUUGGAGCGGCGGUGAGGCAGGGGAGAUUUACUUUAGCCGAGCAACAGGAGCGCGGGCAAAUAGCUCCACAGAAUGGGUCGAACCGCUCGUGUUACCCUCGGUUCGCCAGGCUGGAAGCUCGCCGGAUAUUGUGGUGGGAUGUGGAUGGAACGAUCCAUGUGGCUUAUGCGAUCCCUUUGAAUGAGAAUCGUGGCAUCUAUGUAACCCAAUCUGGUGACGGUAGUUUGAGCUGGUCUGAGCCUGUCCAGGCGUUUGAUGCUGUUCAGGAAGGUUGGGAGAUGGUUGACCAGCCGCGUCAGGCAGUCAGUGGAAAAGUGAUUUACAAUCUCGCCUUCGGAAACUACUCGCUGCCUGGAGGCGACGGGUCAAAAGGCCUGUUUGCAACACGGUCUACCGAUGAAAGCGUAACAAGGUAGAGCUC